UACGUAGGGGGCAAGCGUUGUCCGGAAUCAUUGGGCGGAAAGAGCGUGUAGGCGGCUUGGUAAGUCCGCUGUGAAAGUCCAGGGCUCAACCCUGGAAUGCCGGUGGAAACUGUCAAGCUUGAGUCCGGAAGAGGCGAGUGGAAUUCCUGGUGUAGCGGUGAAAUGCGCAGAUAUCAGGAGGAACACCAAUGGCGAAGGCAGCUCGCUGGGACGGUACUGACGCUGAGACGCGAAAGCGUGGGGAGCAAACAGG
rnacentral:rRNA from 1 species